rnacentral:rRNA from 1 species
UUUGAAUUUAAUAUAAAGUAGGGCCUGCCCACUGAAAAUUUGAAGGGCCGCAGUAUUUUGACUGUGCAAAGGUAGCAUAAUCAUUAGUUUUUUAAUUGAAAGCUUGUAUGAAUGGUUUGAUGAAAAAAUUUCUUUCUAUAUUUAAUUUAAUAAGAAUUUUAUUUUUAAGUUAAAAAGCUUAAAUUUUUUUAAUAGACGAGAAGACCCUAUAGAGUUUAAUUUUUAAAGAAUUUUAAAAAUUAUUUAUUUAAUUUUUUUUAAAAAUUUGGUUGGGGUGAUUAAAAAAUUAAAUAAACUUUUUUUUUAUAAUUACAUUUAUUUAUGAAUAUAUGAUCCAAUUUAUUGAUUAUAAGAAUAAAUUACCUUAGGGAUAACAGCGUUAUUUUUUUUUAGAGUUCAAAUCGAAAAAAGAGAUUGCGACCUCGAUGUUGGAUUAAAGUUAAUAUUUGGUGUAGAAGCUAAAAUAUUUGGUCUGUUCGACCAUUAAAACUUUACA